UACAGAGGUCUCAAGCGUUGUUCGGAUUCAUUGGGCGUAAAGGGUGCGUAGGUGGCGGGCAAGUCUGGUGUGAAAUCCCGGGGCUCAACCCCGGAACUGCACUGGAUACUGCCUUGCUAGAGCACUGGAGAGGGAACUGGAAUUUACGGUGUAGCAGUGAAAUGCGUAGAUAUCGUAAGGAAGACCAGUGGCGAAGGCGAGUUCCUGGACAGUUGCUGACACUGAGGCACGAAGGCUAGGGGAGCAAACGGG
rnacentral:rRNA from 1 species